UACGUAGGGUGCAGGCGUUAAUCGGAAUUACUGGGCGUAAAGCGUGCGCAGGCGGUUUCUUAAGUCAGAUGUGAAAGCCCCGGGCUUAACCUGGGAACUGCGUUUGAAACUGGGAGACUAGAGUGUGGCAGAGGGGGGGUGGAAUUCCACGUGUAGCAGUGAAAUGCGUAGAGAUGUGGAGGAACACCGAUGGCGAAGGCAGCCCCCUGGGUCAAGAUUGACGCUCAUGCACGAAAGCGUGGGGAGCAAACAGG
rnacentral:rRNA from 1 species